CUACGGGUCGCACCAGUGGGGAAUAUUGGACAAUGGGGGAAACCCUGAUCCAGCAAUGCCGCGUGUGUGAAGAAGGCCUGCGGGUUGUAAAGCACUUUCGGUUGGGAGGACUGCUUCUAGCACUAAUAUUGUUGGAAGUUGACGUUACCUUCAGAAGAAGCACCGGCUAACUCCGUGCCGGCAGCCGCGGUAAUACGGAGGGUGCAAGCGUUAAUCGGAAUUACUGGGCGUAAAGCGCGCGUAGGCGGCUAGAUCAGUCGGGUGUGAAAGCCCCGGGCUUAACCUGGGAACUGCAUCCGAUACUGUCUAGCUUGAGUACAGGAGAGGAGAGUGGAAUUCCACAUGUAGCGGUGAAAUGCGUAGAUAUGUGGAGGAACACCAAUGGCGAAGGCAGCUCUCUGGCCUGAUACUGACGCUGAGGUGCGAAGGCGUGGGGAGCAAACAGGAUUAGAUACCCCAGUAGUC
rnacentral:rRNA from 1 species